rnacentral:rRNA from 1 species
AGAGGAAGGUCCCCCACAUUGGAACUGAGACACGGUCCAAACUCCUACGGGAGGCAGCAGUGAGGAAUAUUGGUCAAUGGGCGCAGGCCUGAACCAGCCAAGUAGCGUGAAGGAUGACUGCUCUAUGGGUCGUAAACUUCUUUUAUAUGGGAAUAAAGUAUUCCACGUGUGGGAUUUUGUAUGUACCAUAUGAAUAAGGAUCGGCUAACUCCGUGCCAGCAGCCGCGGUAAUACGGAGGAUCCGAGCGUUAUCCGGAUUUAUUGGGUUUAAAGGGAGCGUAGGUGGAUUGUUAAGUCAGUUGUGAAAGUUUGCGGCUCAACCGUAAAAUUGCAGUUGAAACUGGCAGUCUUGAGUACAGUAGAGGUGGGCGGAAUUCGUGGUGUAGCGGUGAAAUGCUUAGAUAUCACGAAGAACUCCGAUUGCGAAGGCAGCUCACUAGACUGUCACUGACACUGAUGCUCGAAAGUGUGGGUAUCAAACAGGAUUAGAUACCCUGGUAGUCCACACAGUAAACGAUGAAUACUCGCUGUUUGCGAUAUACAGUAAGCGGCCAAGCGAAAGCAUUAAGUAUUCCACCUGGGGUGUA